rnacentral:rRNA from 1 species
UACAGAGGUCUCAAGCGUUGUUCGGAUUCAUUGGGCGUAAAGGGUGUGUAGGUGGCGCCGUAAGUCGGGUGUGAAAUUUCGGAGCUUAACUCCGAAACUGCAUUUGAUACUGGCGUGCUUGAGGACUGGAGAGGAGACUGGAAUUCAUGGUGUAGCGGUGAAAUGCGUAGAUAUCGAGAGGAACACCUGCGGCGAAGGCGGGUUGCUGGGCUGACACUGACGCUGAACUGCGAAAGCUAGGGGAGCGAACGGG